rnacentral:rRNA from 1 species
CAGUAGCCGCUGGAAUACAGAGGGUGCGAGCGUUAAUCGGAUUUACUGGGCGUAAAGCGUGCGUAGGCGGCUUCUUAAGUCGGAUGUGAAAUCCCUGAGCUUAACUUAGGAAUUGCAUUCGAUACUGGGAAGCUAGAGUAUGGGAGAGGAUGGUAGAAUUCCAGGUGUAGCGGUGAAAUGCGUAGAGAUCUGGAGGAAUACCGAUGGCGAAGGCAGCCAUCUGGCCUAAUACUGACGCUGAGGUACGAAAGCAUGGGGAGCAAACAGGAUUAGAUACCCGAGUAGUCCCUGUCUCUUAUAC